rnacentral:lncRNA from 1 species
UAACAUGUAAUUAUUCAACUGUCCAACAAAAAGUGUAGUCGUGAAUAAGAAAUGAAGUGGAUGAAUUGGAUAUAGUACGCUUAACGAUUUCAGAGUGGUAAGAAUUGUCUCUACCAUCAAUCAACGCUUAUGCCGGCAGUCCUCUACUGAAAUGACAAAAGAAAUGUCGUCAUCAUCUUGGAUCAUUUAUGCGACUUGAAUGAACAUGAAGUUAACAAAUUGACUGAAGGAUAAUAAUAAAAACCGAACUAAAUUUAUUCACAGGAAGACAUUAAGACACGUUGGGGAACUUGGAUGGAAGCUAUAAUAUGUGUAUAUUUUCAAUUUAUUAAAAUAUUAAUCGUUGGAUUUGAAGAAAACGAUGACAUAGCUAUCAAAAAAGUGCGAAAUCGAAUGGCAGAAGAAAUGUAAUCAAAUUUGAUAUUUAUAAAAGCCAACUAUAUAAAUAUAAUAAUAAAAAUAGUUAUGGAAAGG